rnacentral:rRNA from 1 species
GCUCAGAUUGAACGCUGGCGGCAUGCCUUACACAUGCAAGUCGAACGGCAGCACGGGAGUAAUCCUGGUGGCGAGUGGCGAACGGGUGAGUAAUACAUCGGAACGUGUCCUGUAGUGGGGGAUAGCCCGGCGAAAGCCGGAUUAAUACCGCAUACGCUCUACGGAGGAAAGGGGGGGAUCUUAGGACCUCUCGCUACAGGGGCGGCCGAUGGCAGAUUAGCUAGUUGGUGGGGUAAAGGCCUACCAAGGCGACGAUCUGUAGCUGGUCUGAGAGGACGACCAGCCACACUGGGACUGAGACACGGCCCAGACUCCUACGGGAGGCAGCAGUGGGGAAUUUUU